rnacentral:lncRNA from 1 species
GCAUUGCUCUCUAGUAGGGAGAAUACAUCUUGUAGAUGCACCAAUUUGCAAUAGCUGUCAUCUGGAAAACUGAAUCACAGAAUAAAUAACAUGGAUAGAGUAAGGAGAGAGCUGGGGGCCCUUUAAUGUGCAAUUGCAAAAGGCCAUGGAAAUUGGCAUUCAAAGCGACUCCUUGCAGUACUCCCUGUGAAUGAGGCAGUCGUAGUUGGCUGAGCACAAGAGACUCGAAC